UGGCGAUCCUCUGUGGAUGCGGACAGACCAGGACGCCCAGGAACCGUCCUGUAUGCUGAUGAAGGCAGUGUCUUGGCCACUCGGAAAAUGCACUUGAAAUGUCUUAGAAGACACCCAGACCACAUGCACUAUCUGCCUGCCCGGGUUGUCAUGCGGUCUUUCUGUCUCAGUGGGUCCAUGAAAACAGGAAAUAUCGCCAAACAGUGCAAAUGAUAAUAGCAAAAAAGAAGAAGAGAGUGAAUUAUGUUUAUCCUCCUUGGGAGUUCUAUGGGGGCACCAAAAACCUAGGGUUGAUAUUUUUUCUGGAGAACUAAUUACGGCCGUCGAAGGACCCAGUCAUGGGAGGGCACAUUCAUCAUUAGACAGUGAGUCAUCCUGAGCAGAAGUGCGCCUGGACGAAGAGAAGGCAUUGCUAAACACAAGCACUGUGCUUCUGUGGCUGUGGAUUCACUAAGCCGCUCCCAGUGUCCUGUGAAGAGACAGAGGCCUCUGCAGCCGCUGAGAAAUAGGUUCUUCUCUUCCUGGCCCUGAAGACUUUAAACCCUAUUGUAAACUUCAGCUUCCUUGUCGGUAAAAUGAAAAUAAAAAAGCCUGCCACACCC
ensembl:lncRNA